rnacentral:rRNA from 1 species
CCUCUUGCCAUCGGAUGUGCCCAGAUGGGAUUAGCUAGUAGGUGGGUAACGGCUCACCUAGGCGACGAUCCCUAGCUGGUCUGAGAGGAUGACCAGCCACACUGGAACUGAGACACGGUCCAGACUCCUACGGGAGGCAGCAGUGGGAAUAUUGCACAAUGGGCGCAAGCCUGAUGCAGCCAUGCCGCGUGUAUGAAGAAGGCCUUCGGGUUGUAAAGUACUUUCAGCGGGAGGAAGGGAGUAAAGUUAAUACCUUUGCUCAUUGACGUUACCCGCAGAAGAAGCACCGGCUAACUCCGUG